GGCAGCACGGGGGCAACCCUGGUGGCGAGUGGCGAACGGGUGAGUAAUGCAUCGGAACGUGCCCAGUAGUGGGGGAUAACUAGUCGAAAGAUUAGCUAAUACCGCAUACGACCUAUGGGUGAAAGCGGGGGAUUCGCAAGAACCUCGCGCUAUCGGAGCGGCCGAUGUCUGAUUAGCUAGUUGGCGGGGUAAAAGCCCACCAAGGCGACGAUCAGUAGCUGGUCUGAGAGGACGACCAGCCACACUGGGACUGAGACACGGCCCAGACUCCUACGGGAGGCAGCAGUGGGGAAUUUUGGACAAUGGGCGCAAGCCUGAUCCAGCCAUGCCGCGUGCGGGAAGAAGGCCUUCGGGUUGUAAACCGCUUUUGGCAGGAACGAAACGGCGCGAGCGAAUAUCUCGCGUUAAUGACGGUACCUGCAGAAUAAGCACCGGCUAACUACGUGCCAGCAGCCGCGGUAAUACGUAGGGUGCAAGCGUUAAUCGGAAUUACUGGGCGUAAAGCGUACGCAGGCGGCUUUGCAAGACAGGUGUGAAAUCCCCGGGCCUAACCUGGGAACUGCAUUUGUGACUGCAUGGCUAGAGUUUGUCAGAGGGGGGUGGAAUUCCACGUGUAGCAGUGAAAUGCGUAGAUAUGUGGAGGAACACCGAUGGCGAAGGCAGCCCCCUGGGAUGUGACUGACGCUCAUGUACGAAAGCGUGGGGAGCAAACAGGAUUAGA
rnacentral:rRNA from 1 species